rnacentral:rRNA from 1 species
AACGUAGGGGACAAGCGUUAUCCGGAUUUACUGGGCGUAAAGCGCCCGUAGGCGGCCUGACAAGUUGGACGUGAAAGCUCCUGGCUUAACUGGGAGGGGCCGUUCAAAACUGUCAAGCUAGAGUCUGGAAGAGGAGAGCGGAAUUCCCGGUGUAGUGGUGGAAUGCGUAGAGAUCGGGAGGAACACCAGUGGCGAAAGCGGCUCUCUGGUCCAAAACUGACGCUGAGGGGCGAAAGCGUGGGGAGCGAACGGG